AAUAGAUUGAAGGAGCUGCAACCAAAACUCAGCUUUGAUGCUCGGAUUUAACAUUUAAAGGGUGAGAUGAGUCAUCAGAAGCAAGUCGUAAUAGAUAACACGGCAGGUGACGAUGAGGACACAUUUUUUGAGCACGAGCAGACAUCGAUGUUUAUGACAUGGGUACUGUCAACCACUCUGACCAAGAAAAAACUGUACUACUUCCUGUCAGUGCUAGCCUGCCUAUUCCAGGCGGCCAUGCUGGCAUCAGAUAUUGUGUAUCACUUUCUUUUAAAAAACCAUCGCUUCCCCAGCCACAAGCACACAGAGGGCAUACUGAUUAUCCAGGUUGUGACUUUCUACUGGUCAUUACUAGCCUCAGUGUACUCCCUUCAAGCAGGAAAUCGCAGAAUGGGCUACUUAUCUUUGGCAUCAGUCCUUCUUAACCUAAGCGUUUUUUGCCUCCGGUUCGGUUAUGAGUUCAUCAUGAUGAGGUUCAGAGCAGAGGAAUACUGAGACGAACUGGCUCGGAGGACUAUUAUAGGACUGCCUGGUCAACUCUCUGAAUCCAUGCAAGCCACAAUCACUGUCCACACAGUGAUAAACACAAUAAACAUCUACACCCAAGGCACUGUGCACAUUC